UACGGAGGGUGCAAGCGUUGUCCGGAUUUAUUGGGCGUAAAGGGUGCGUAGGCGGCGCGGUAAGUCGGAUGUGAAAUCUCGGGGCUUAACUCCGAAACUGCAUUCGAUACUGCCGUGCUUGAGGACUGGAGAGGAGACUGGAAUUUACGGUGUAGCGGUGAAAUGCGUAGAUAUCGUAAGGAAGACCAGUGGCGAAGGCGGGUCUCUGGACAGUUCCUGACGCUGAGGCACGAAGGCCAGGGGAGCAAACGGG
rnacentral:rRNA from 1 species